rnacentral:rRNA from 1 species
UACAGAGGUCUCAAGCGUUGUUCGGAUUCAUUGGGCGUAAAGGGUGCGUAGGCGGCGCGGUAAGUCGGGUGUGAAAUCUCGGGGCUUAACUCCGAAACUGCAUUCGGUACUGCCGUGCUUGAGGACUGGAGAGGAGACUGGAAUUUACGGUGUAGCGGUGAAAUGCGUAGAUAUCGUAAGGAAGACCAGUGGCGAAGGCGGGUCUCUGGA